rnacentral:lncRNA from 1 species
GCUGGGUGUGGCAGCUCAUGCCUAUAAUCUCAGCACUUUGGGAGGCUGAGAUGGGAGUAAAGCUUGAGCCCAUGAGUUCGAGGCUGCAGUGAGCUAUGAUUGAGCCACUGAACUAUAACUUGGGCAAUAGAACAAGACCCUGUCUCAAAAAAAAAGCAUGUUUAUUUUACUUUUACUCAAAAUAGAUAUUUUUAAUAGUGACAUAUUAUAUACAAUAAGAAAUCAACAGAUGGUAUUUUUAAGUGGGUGAUGAAGUGGAAAUAAAUUAAUUUUGCCAUUACUCAUAAGAUAUUGUCUAGAGAAAAAAUAUAUAUUAUAAAGUUAAAAUAUGAAUAUAUAUACAAACGUAUAUAUGUAUUUAAACGUAACCACAAAGCAGCUGUGGUAGUAUUUAUACAAGAGAUAUUGGCAAAUGCUAUAUACAUUUUUCUGAAGAGCAGGUUGUUAAACAUUUACCCCCUGGGUUUCAAAGCAAAACCCAAUUAUAAUGUAUAUACAAGAUGCUCCCAAACCACCCACUGAAAAAGAAUGCCAGGCAAGUGUAAAACAAAAUGAAAGUUGUGAUUGUAAUCUUAAAACUGGGCAAAGCAUUACCAGAAACUGGUAACAGUGGCUGUCCCUAUGAAAGGGAUAGUAGUGGGAUAAAUUACCAAUGAUUAAUGAUUCUGCAUUUCAUUUGGAACAAUUUUAAUAUUUCAGUAUCACAUGUGUUUAUCACUUAUUUCAAAUAAAAAGAAUAACCUAUUCUUUAGAAAGCAACGUGCCUCGUAAGCCAAUGGGUCUCAGACGUUUCCAUGCAUCAGAUAUGGCUGGAGAGCUUGUUAAAAUGCAGAUCACCGGGCUCCAUUCAUAAGCAGUACUUAUUCAGUAGGCCUGGGAUUAAGCCCAGGGAUCUGCGUUUCUUAUAAAAUCCACAGAAGAUUCUCAGUCCAACUUGAGAACCCAUGACAUAGUCAUACUCAUGGACAAGAGGGAUUCCCAGGCAGCUGAAUCCAUGGAGUACCUUCCCGAUUUGAAAGUGGAGGGCUAAGCGCUAAGAGGCAAUUAGCAACUGUGAUGUAUCCAAGGAAGAGUAGCGUGUCCUCAAUCACAUGAAAGGGAGUUCCCUUUUAUCCGGAGAUAUCCACAAGGUACUGGUAACUCCUCCUUGGGGUUUUUCUCCACAGCUUUUCAGAGCCCCAGGCUUCAAACUUGCUACCAUUGCUCCCUGAAGUCUGCCUGAUUGAUAUUCCAUUGUCCAAUCCUUGCCUUAGUGAAUAUGACCAACUAAUGAAUAGCAACAACAAUGACUUACACUUCCAAAAAUCUUUACUGUUUAUAAAGUUUUCUCUCAUAUCUUGUUUCACUUGAGAGUUCCUUCAAAUGGAAUGUCACAUAAUUUUUUGGAUUGAAAGUCAUUUAAUUAGAAAUGGCUGAUGCAAUCAUAAAUGCCUAAUGAUAAACAAUGAUCAACGUUGAAAUUUUAAAACAUGACACAAUUUUGCAAGGAAAGAUGCUGGGAUAAAACGAACUUUUCCAGGACCCCUCAAUUCCACACAUGGCUGCUUAAAUGACCGAUGGGUGCUAGAUUUUCAGCAAUUAGAUGCUUUGUAGGUAUCUUGGGUUAAAAUGCAGUGAAAUAAUCUGUAUUUAUUGAAAAAGAUUUGUUCUAAUUUGUAUUUGUGUCAAAUGCCUUCCUGCUAUAUGAAUAUCCACUUCAAAUCUUCCAGUUCCUGGGGUGGCUAAGGAAGCCUGCAAUGCUGACCUAUGGUGGGUAUUAAUGGACAACACCUGCAAUACAUUCUACACAUGGACUAUUUGAAGGGAUUGUCAGCUCUUUAAGCAGAGCACUGGUGGCUUCUUGCCCAGCACUUGGGACAGGGCCUGACAUACAGUAAAUGCUAAGGUCCUGGUUAGCAGCAUUGGAUGCACAUUGAAGUCACCUGGGAAGUUUGUAAAAA